UACGUAGACCUCGAGCGUUAUCCGGAUUUACUGGGCGUAAAGCGUGCGUAGGUGUCUUUGUAAGUCUCUGGUGAAAUCUCCGGGCUCAACCCGGAAAUGGUCAGGGAAACUGCAAGGAUCGAGUACGGCAGAGGCAGAUGGAAUGGUUGGUGUAGCGGUAAAAUGCGUUGAUAUCAACCAGAACACCAGUGGCGAAGGCGAUCUGCUGGGCCUGUGACUGACACUGAGGCACGAAAGCGUGGGUAGCGAACGGGA
rnacentral:rRNA from 1 species